AUGCUUCGGGCAGCACAUAUACUAAAAUUAGAACGAUACAGAGAAGAUUAGCAUGGCCCCUUCGCAAGGAUGACAGCAAAUAAAUUUUAAUAUGAACAAUCUGUU